rnacentral:tRNA from 1 species
GAGAAGAGUUGGAAACACAGAAACUGCUAAUUAUCUGACACGUGGUUAAACUCCACGAUCUACUCA